AUUCUCUCCCUGCAUCGCUCUGUAUGCAGUAGGUAUGCGGGAAUGUAGUUAUGGCAAUGACAUGCCCUUCUGACCAUUUCCCACAUCCCUUUCUGAGUCAGGUAGAAAUAUUUGAGGGCCAGUGGGACUGACAAUAGCUGUUCUAGGAGGUCAGAAAGGAAGCGGAAAAGCAAGGCUGGCUUGGUUUCUGGAGGAAGAGAAGCCGGUCCUGAGAGCCCUCCAGCCUCCCGGCACUACUAGGGAAACUGUCCAGUUGAGUUACUUAGAAUUGCAUCUCUACUGGGCCCUGCUGUUAAUCUCCAGCCCAGCCCCCAUCAGAACCCAGAUCGAUAGCUGAGAAUGGAGCUGUCUGUCUUUCUGACCCCCCUGAUUGUUUUGUUAUUGCUGGUGGGCUGAUUUCCAGUUAUGUAACCUCCUCUCUGUUAGAUGAAAUCUCAUUAUUUUACUGUGCUGUGCACAUCAGGUCUGUUUCACGUUGAGCUACCUGAGAGGAGCUGGGAACGUGCUGUUUCUCAUCAUUAUCACCCAGCAAGAGAACUGGAGAGAGAGCUACACCCAAACCAAUUAUGGUCAGGCCCUCUGGGCUGUUAUAUAAUUUUCCAGGAGACAGUGGAGUGAAGCAGACCUCAGCGUCCCAGAGGUGUGCUGCCACGACAGUGUGCUUUCCUUGCUUGGAAGUCUUGGAAGCUUCUUACCUCCUCUAAGAAGAUUUUCCAGGCAAAACCCAGAUCUGCUUUAGUGACUUCAGAAGAAAAAGAUCUGAGGGAGGAUGAGAAGCCGAUAGCCAAUGGUUAUGAGGAUGAGGGUCGCUAUCCAAAGGAUUGA
rnacentral:lncRNA from 1 species